GUCAGGAAUCUUGUCUGCUCUGAGGUGCUGUCACUUUAUGUUCUUGUUCCAUGGUCAGGAAUCUUGUCUGCUCUGAGGUGCUGUCACUUUAUGUUCUUGUUCCAUGGUCAGGAAUCUUGUCUGCUCUGAGGUGCUGUCACUUUAUGUUCUUGUUCCAUGGUCAGGAAUCUUGUCUGCUCUGAGGUGCUGUCACUUUAUGUUCUUGUUCAAUGGUCAGGAAUUUUGUC